AAAAUUCCAGCUAUUAAUUAUUCAGAGGGGAGAAUUUCGAAGUUGGAACCUUUCUUUUCUUGCUCAUUUGUUUUGUUUUUGGGUUCAUUACUUGUGGUUCUCCCUGCCUUUUCGUUCCUCUCAAUAUUUUCCCACCAUUGAUAUGACCGUUUAUUUUUUCUUUUUAAAAGGGGAAAACUUUUUUGUUAUUCUUUUUUUAGAGAAUUGGAUUACCGGCUGCAUUAAAUAAUUCCCUCUUCCCCUUCCAAGGUUCACACCUUCAUUUUGUACCUUAUCUCUAUAAAUUCCCCAGCCACCAUUCCUUCAACUCACAAACUCUCACACUUUCUCUUUCUUUCCUUAACAUUAAGCAAAUAUGAACAAGAUCACAGCCCUGUUCUUCAUGGCUCUGUUCCUCCUCUGCAUGAUCACCCACUCCGCACGCCUUGAACCAGCCUUUCAAGAGGAAUCUUUGGAGUCCACAAAACUUGAGGAUAUUGAUGAAAGCUGUGAAGGCAUUAAAGAAGAUGAAUGCUUGAUGAGGAGGACACUUGCCGCACACAUCGAUUAUAUUUAUACGCAGAAGCAAAACCCUUGAAAGAAUUUUCUCUCUUCUUCUUUUCAUGGUUGUUUGGUGUUUUACUAUAUUAGGCGCUAGUACCAUGCUUAUUUGGCUAAGGCCUCAAAUGCUCUUUCCUCUCUUUUAUGCUUAUGUAUAGCAUAUUUAUAUUUAUAUCACUGCUAUAUAUCAUGAAAUUAUAAUAAAUAUAUUUGAUAGUUGUGUAACCAGUUAUCCUCACCUUAAGAAUUAUUCUUCUCUU